GCCAAGUCGAGCCGGAAACGAAGUAUAUUCUGAACCUUCGGGGAACGAUAUCGGCGUCGAGCGGCGGACGGGUGAGUAAUGCCUGGGAAAUUGCCCUGAUGUGGGGGAUAACCAUUGGAAACGAUGGCUAAUACCGCAUAAUAGCUUCGGCUCAAAGAGGGGGACCUUCGGGCCUCUCGCGUCAGGAUAUGCCCAGGUGGGAUUAGCUAGUUGGUGAGGUAAGGGCUCACCAAGGCGACGAUCCCUAGCUGGUCUGAGAGGAUGAUCAGCCACACUGGAACUGAGACACGGUCCAGACUCCUACGGGAGGCAGCAGUGGGGAAUAUUGCACAAUGGGCGCAAGCCUGAUGCAGCCAUGCCGCGUGUGUGAAGAAGGCCUUCGGGUUGUAAAGCACUUUCAGUCGUGAGGAAGGUAGUGUGUUUAAUAGAUGCAUUAUUUGACGUUAGCGACAGAAGAAGCACCGGCUAACUCCGUGCCAGCAGCCGCGGUAAUACGGAGGGUGCGAGCGUUAAUCGGAAUUACUGGGCGUAAAGCGCAUGCAGGUGGUGUGUUAAGUCAGAUGUGAAAGCC
rnacentral:rRNA from 1 species